rnacentral:rRNA from 1 species
GACAGAGGCCUCGAGCGUUAGGCGGAAUCACUGGGCUUAAAGCGUGUGUAGGCGGGCCCGUAAGUGUCUUGUGAAAUCCCACGGCUCAACCAUGGAACUGCUCGGUAUACUGCGAAUCUUGAGCCACUUAGGGGCUACCGGAACAAAUGGUGGAGCGGUGAAAUGCGUAGAUAUCAUUUGGAACGCCAAUGGUGAAAACAGGUAGCUGGGAGUGUGCUGACGCUGAGACACGAAAGCCAGGGGAGCGAACGGG